rnacentral:rRNA from 1 species
CCCUUAGAUGUUCUGGGCCGCACGCGUGCUACACUGAGUGGAUCAGCGGGUCAGGUUGCGCGAAAGCGUUUCCUAAUCUUUAAAUCCGCUCGUGAUGGGGAUUGACGGUUGCAAUUUUCUGUCAUGAACGAGGAAUACCUUGUAAGCGCGGGUCAUCAUCCCGCGCUGAAUACGUCCCUCCCCUUUGUACACACCGCCCGUCGCUCCUACCGAUUGAGUGGUCCGGUGAGGCUUUGGGAUCUGAGCGGAAAGAGCGUUUCGCUGUUUCUGCUCGGAAAACUCAGUCGAACCUUAUCAUUUAGAGGAAGGAGAAGUCGUAACA